CGAGAAGCGGCGUCUGGCGGCCUGGUAAGAGAGGAGCGCGUAGGAACCGGUGGAAACCGGAGGGAUGUCCUGCAGGAAAAGUCCACAGAAUCUGUACAGACACUGGGAACUCUGAAAAAUGAAGACGUGAGAAAUCUUUAGAUAACUUUAACCACCACCACGUCAAAAGCCAUCUCUCGUUCCUCCUUGGUGAAAAUUGCUCUCACGUCUGAUCUGCGCUUUUGUAAGCACUAGAGCAUCGCGAAGAAAAUCUGGAGGCAGAAAACUUGAAAAAGAUCGUGGUACCCACACUUAAAGUUGAAUGAGGCCGAAGCAGACGCUUUUCCCCUUAGCUGAGCUGUAAAGGAUGGGCCGGGGGAGGUGGCUGGACAUAAAACACGUCUGUGACCUCCAAGAAGAGUCUCAGCCUGAAUAAUUCAGGGAAGCCUUGCUCUGUGGAGGACAGGGCACCACAAUGGCUAUUUGCUAGCUGUGUGAGCUUUGGCAAACUUCUUCUUUCCCCACUGAACCUUAAUUUCCUCAUCCAUAAAGUCAUUAUAAUGGUAGCUAUAAUUAAGUGCUCUUCUAAAUAAUAAAUGUGUUAAUAUAUGCGAGGUGCCUAGUGCAAGGGGGAAAACACAUUAAGUUGUUAUAGUAUUGUUAAUAAAAUAAUAAUUAUAAGAGUAA